rnacentral:tRNA from 3 species
GUUUUUUUAGUUUAGAUAGAACACUUGAUUUGCACUCAAAAAGAAAGAAACUUUCUUAAAAAACA